UUCACGACAGUCACAUUAAUUCCCUUUAUCUAUACUAACCUCACACAUAUGGUAUACUAACUGGUUAACGUCUUAUUCACAUUUUUACAAAUGCUUUAUUCACUUGGAUUUCUUUUCUUUUUUUCUUUCUUCUUUUUUUAUUCAAAGUUUUUGGGGUUCAACUAUCGUUGGACUAAGUAAUCGGGUGAGAGUUACCCAACUUAGUAGAUAG
rnacentral:lncRNA from 1 species